rnacentral:rRNA from 1 species
GUACCUUUUGUAUAAUGGGUCAGCGACUUAUAUUCUGUAGCAAGGUUAACCGCAUAGGGGAGCCGAAGGGAAACCGAGUCUUAAUUGGGCGUUAAGUUGCAGGGUAUAGACCCGAAACCCGGUGAUCUAGCCAUGGGCAGGUUGAAGGUUGGGUAACACUAACUGGAGGACCGAACCGACUAAUGUUGAAAAAUUAGCGGAUGACCUGUGGCUGGGGGUGAAAGGCCAAUCAAACCGGGAGAUAGCUGGUUCUCCCCGAAAGCUAUUUAGGUAGCGCCUCGUGAACUCAUCUCCGGGGGUAGAGCACUGUUUCGGCUAGGGGGCCAUCCCGGCUUACCAACCCGAUGCAAACUGCGAAUACCGGAGAAUGUUAUCACGGGAGACACACGGCGGGUGCUAACGUCCGUCGUGAAGAGGGAAACAACCCAGACCGCCAGCUAAGGUCCCAAAGUCAUGGUUAAGUGGGAAACGAUGUGGGAAGGCCCAGACAGCCAGGAUGUUGGCUUAGAAGCAGCCAUCAUUUAAAGAAAGCGUAAUAGCUCACUGGUCGAGUCGGCCUGCGCGGAAGAUGUAACGGGGCUAAACCAUGCACCGAAGCUGCGGCAGCGAACGUAUCACUUAAAACGAUUCAGAAGCUUACGAUUGACGGAGCGAAGCGACGUCAAAGCGUAUACAAAGUCGAGUCGGUUUAAGGAUACGUUCGUUGGGUAGGGGAGCGUUCUGUAAGCCGUUGAAGGUGGCCUGUGAGGGUUGCUGGAGGUAUCAGAAGUGCGAAUGCUGACAUAAGUAACGAUAAAGCGGGUGAAAAGCCCGCUCGCCGGAAGACCAAGGGUUCCUGUCCAACGUUAAUCGGGGCAGGGUGAGUCGACCCCUAAGGCGAGGCCGAAAGGCGUAGUCGAUGGGAAACGGGUUAAUAUUCCCGUACUUGGUGUUACUGCGAAGGGGGGACGGAGAAGGCUAUGUUGGCCGGGCGACGGUUGUCCCGGUUUAAGCGUGUAGGUGUGUGUUCCAGGUAAAUCCGGUUCACUUUAACACUGAGGCGUGACGACGAGGCACCACGGUGCUGAAGCAACAAAUGCCCUGCUUCCAGGAAAAGCCUCUAAGCAUCAGGUAACAUCAAAUCGUACCCCAAACCGACACAGGUGGUCAGGUAGAGAAUACCAAGGCGCUUGAGAGAACUCGGGUGAAGGAACUAGGCAAAAUGGUGCCGUAACUUCGGGAGAAGGCACGCUGACAUGUAGGUGAAGUGAUUUGCUCAUGGAGCUGAAGUCAGUCGAAGAUACCAGCUGGCUGCAACUGUUUAUUAAAAACACAGCACUGUGCAAACACGAAAGUGGACGUAUACGGUGUGACGCCUGCCCGGUGCCGGAAGGUUAAUUGAUGGGGUCAGCGCAAGCGAAGCUCCUGAUCGAAGCCCCGGUAAACGGCGGCCGUAACUAUAACGGUCCUAAGGUAGCGAAAUUCCUUGUCGGGUAAGUUCCGACCUGCACGAAUGGCGUAAUGAUGGCCAGGCUGUCUCCACCCGAGACUCAGUGAAAUUGAACUCGCUGUGAAGAUGCAGUGUACCCGCGGCAAGACGGAAAGACCCCGUGAACCUUUACUAUAGCUUGACACUGAACAUUGAGCCUUGAUGUGUAGGAUAGGUGGGAGGCUUUGAAGCGUGGACGCCAGUCUGCGUGGAGCCAACCUUGAAAUACCACCCUUUAAUGUUUGAUGUUCUAACGUGGACCCGUGAUCCGGGUUGCGGACAGUGUCUGGUGGGUAGUUUGACUGGGGCGGUCUCCUCCUAAAGAGUAACGGAGGAGCACGAAGGUUGGCUAAUCCUGGUCGGACAUCAGGAGGUUAGUGCAAUGGCAUAAGCCAGCUUGACUGCGAGCGUGACGGCGCGAGCAGGUGCGAAAGCAGGUCAUAGUGAUCCGGUGGUUCUGAAUGGAAGGGCCAUCGCUCAACGGAUAAAAGGUACUCCGGGGAUAACAGGCUGAUACCGCCCAAGAGUUCAUAUCGACGGCGGUGUUUGGCACCUCGAUGUCGGCUCAUCACAUCCUGGGGCUGAAGUAGGUCCCAAGGGUAUGGCUGUUCGCCAUUUAAAGUGGUACGCGAGCUGGGUUUAGAACGUCGUGAGACAGUUCGGUCCCUAUCUGCCGUGGGCGCUGGAGAAUUGAGGGGGGCUGCUCCUAGUACGAGAGGACCGGAGUGGACGCAUCACUGGUGUUCGGGUUGUCAUGCCAAUGGCACUGCCCGGUAGCUAAAUGCGGAAGAGAUAAGUGCUGAAAGCAUCUAAGCACGAAACUUGCCCCGAGAUGAGUUCUCCCUGAGACUUAAAGUCUCCUGAAGGAACGUUAAAGACGAUGACGUUGAUAGGCCGGGUGUGUAAGCGCAGCGAUGCGUUGAGCUAACCGGUACUAAUGAACCGUGAGGCUUAACCUU